rnacentral:piRNA from 1 species
UCAUAAGAGUUGUUUCAGCCAUGGUGUC